rnacentral:rRNA from 2 species
GCGAGGCCGAAAGGCGUAGUCGAUGGGAAACAGGUUAAUAUUCCUGUACUUGGUGUUACUGCGAAGGGGGGACGGAGAAGGCUAUGUUAGCCGGGCGACGGUUGUCCCGGUUUAAGCAUGUAGGCUGAUUAUCCAGGCAAAUCCGGAUAAUCAAGGCUGAGGUGUGAUGACGAGGCACUACGGUGCUGAAGUAACAAAUGCCCUGCUUCCAGGAAAAGCCUCUAAGCAUCAGGUAACAUCAAAUCGUACCCCAAACCGACACAGGUGGUCAGGUAGAGAAUACCAAGGCGCUUGAGAGAACUCGGGUGAAGGAACUAGGCAAAAUGGUGCCGUAACUUCGGGAGAAGGCACGCUGGUGUGUAGGUGA